GCGGGUGUAGCUCAGCUGUUAGAGCGCGUCCUUGCCAAGGACGAGGUCCAGGGUUAGAGUCCCUGUACCCGCACCA
rnacentral:tRNA from 2 species